CAGGCCUAACACAUGCAAGUCGAACGCUCACCUUCGGGUGGGAGUGGCAGACGGGUGAGUAACACGUGGGAACGUGCCCUUCGGUUCGGAAUAACUCAGGGAAACUUGAGCUAAUACCGGAUACGCCCUUUGGGGGAAAGGUUUACUGCCGAAGGAUCGGCCCGCGUCUGAUUAGCUAGUUGGUGAGGUAACGGCUCACCAAGGCGACGAUCAGUAGCUGGUCUGAGAGGAUGAUCAGCCACACUGGGACUGAGACACGGCCCAGACUCCUACGGGAGGCAGCAGUGGGGAAUAUUGGACAAUGGGCGCAAGCCUGAUCCAGCCAUGCCGCGUGAGUGAUGACGGCCCUAGGGUUGUAAAGCUCUUUUACCUGGGAAGAUAAUGACGGUACCAGGAGAAUAAGCCCCGGCUAACUUCGUGCCAGCAGCCGCGGUAAU
rnacentral:rRNA from 1 species